UCUGCCUCCCAAGUGCUGGGAUUAAAGGUGUGUGCCAUCACCACCUGGCAGGGGAAAACAUUUCAACUGUCAAUUGGAUUGUUCUACGUUGAUUCCAGCCAGUUGGUGGAUGGGUUUGUAUCAUCUUCUGCCUAGCUAUUUAUUAAUUGUUGAAAGAAGAGCAUUGACAACUUGGCUGUGUUGUGGAUUUGUCCAUUCUCCUUCUAGUUCUACAACUUUUCUUAUAGGCUUUAUUUUUAAUUUUGUAUGUAUGUGGGGUGUGUGUGUGUGUGUGUGUGUAUGAGUGUGAGUGCAUUUUGAGGGCAGAGGGCAGAUUCCCUAGAUCUGGAGUUACAGGCCACUCCAUGUGGGUGCUGGGAACUGAACUCAGGUCCUCUCCAAGAGUAAGAAGUACUUUUAACCACUGGGCAAUCUCUCUAGCCCUCAAUCCUAUAAUUUUAAAUUCACAUGCCUAGCUCCAUAGUUUGCAACAGAUACACAUAGAAAUUGAUGCCUUCUUGGUGUAAUAACUCUUUGAUUAUUAUGUAAUGUAAUAAUAUGUAUCACUGACAUUUUGUUUUCUCUGCACUCUAUCUGAUAUUAUUACUACUUUCUUUUUAUUAAUAUUUGAAUUACAUACUGGUCUGUGUUUUUACUUUCAAACUACUAUCAUAUCUGCAGUGUGUUUCUUGGUCCAUUUUUAAAUGCCCUUUGCUAAUCUGUGCCUUGUAGUUGGUACAUCAGGCCAUUAACUUUAACAUAAUUAUUGAUAUGCAAAUCUUAACUUUGAAAUUUACUUUCUAUUCUCUGCUUUCUGUUUCUGUCUCAUUUUUCCUACCUUCCAGUAGGUUACUAGAGUAUUGUCUGUAAUUCCAUCUUGAAUGGUGGGUAGUUAUUGACUUUAUCUCCUUACAUCAUUUACUUAAUGAUUCUUCAAAAUCAAUAGUCUUUUUUUUCUUAUUUAGUUUUUAUUCAUAAUCAUAAACUGAACUCUGCAAUCCAUCUAUACUUGGAGGGGAAUGAGGAAAAUAUGGAACCCACAGAACUUCAGUGAGAGCAGAGAUUACAGGGUACUGUGAGCAGGUGGGGUGGGGGCGCUCUCCUGAGCUACAGAAGGAAUGGUCUGAUGGAUAAGAUGCCCCCAAGUCAAGCUGUGCAGAGUAGGCAAUGGUGAUCUUGCAGUUCCUAGACCCAAAAUGCUCAUGGCUUCCACAAUGCUCAUGCCUUCUUUCACUAAAGACCACAUGCUUGGGAUCCAGUCUUGGCAGUGCAGAUAAAAAUCUGGGAACCAUUAGUGUUUGGCCCAGCAUUUGCCAUGGACAAGGAGAUGUCAGGAUGGCCCUGCCACCAGUGCCAUUAUGGUGUGUGCCAUCACCACCCUGGCUCAUGAAACCUGGAAUAAUUCUGCAAAAGGAGGAAUCCUUAUAUCCAAACUCUUUCCAGUGCUCAGAGCAGGAAAGUUUUCUGCUGUCCCUGGAACUUUGUCUGCAAAUAGCUUGAAGGAGACGUGGCCCAAGGGCUCACCAUCACCCCACUGUGAAGUACACAGUGGGGUUGACCGUGGCUGCAGCAAGCAGCAACAGGGAACAGCAGUGUCUACAAAGCCAAACUCAGUGGUUUUCAACAUGUGGGUCAGGACCCCCUAAGGUUUGGUAUAUCAGAUAUCCUAAAUAUCAAAUACUUACAUUAUGAUUCAGAACAGUAGCAAAAUCAUAGUUAUGAAGUAGAAAAAAAACCUUUUGUUCUCUAAGGCAGAGAUUGGGGGUCACCACAACAUGAAGUAGUGUAUUAAAGGGCUGUAGCAUUAGGAAGGUUGAGAACCGCUGGUAUAGAGAAUCUAUGUAUGUUGUAUAUAUAAUUCGUUAUAAGUCAUGUGCAUCUGACUGAGUAUGUAUGGUCUGAUUGCUUCAUUAUCCCACUAGCUUUUGCAUAUAAAGUUUUAUGUCCCAGUCAGGCAUGAUGGCGCAGGCCUACAGUCCCAGUACUUGGGAGGCUGAGGCAAAAGGAUCAUGAGAUGAACAUGGGAAGACAUCUGAAAAUCUGCAAGGUCCCAUGCUUCCUACAGUAGUACUAAGGUGAGGAAAUUUGCUUAGUUUUCUGUGAUCUAAAUUGAUUUGACCAUAAAAAUCCUCUCAUAAACUCUUUAAAUAUCUCAAAAGCCAGUAGAACUCAUGUGACCUGUCUAGAGAGUACAGUUCCUGGGAAACUUUGCUGGUUGCUUUUCUCAUAUCAGAGCAUUGAAAAUGUAUUAUCAAAGCCAGGCAGUGGUGGUGCUUGGGAGGCAGAGGCAGAUGGAUCUCUGUGAGUUUGAGGCCAGCCUGGUUUACAUUAUAAAGUUUCAGGAUAGCCACGGCUACGAAGAGAAACCCUGCCUCAAACAAACAAACAAACAAACAAACACACAAACAAAAAGUAUUAUCGUGUAGUGCUCAAAGUAUUUC
rnacentral:lncRNA from 1 species